rnacentral:rRNA from 1 species
GGCCAGACUCCUACGGGAGGCAGCAGUGGGGGAUAUUGCACAAUGGGGGAAACCCUGAUGCAGCGACGCCGCGUGGGUGAAGGAGUGCUUCGGCAUGUAAAGCCCUAUCGGCAGGGAAGAAGCAAGACGGUACCUGACUAAGAAGCCCCGGCUAACUACGUGCCAGCAGCCGCGGGAAUACGUAGGGGGCAAGCGUUAUCCGGAUUUACUGGGUGUAAAGGGGGCGCAGACGGCAGCGCAAGCCAGGAGUGAAAGCCCGGGGCCCAACCCCGGGACUGCUCUUGGAACUGCGCGGCUGGAGUGCAGGAGGGGCAGGCGGAAUUCCUGGUGUAGCGGUGAAAUGCGUAGAUAUCAGGAGGAACACCGGUGGCGAAGGCGGCCUGCUGGACUGCGACUGACGUUGAGGCCCGAAAGCGUGGGGAGCAAACAGGAUUAGAUACCCGAGUAUG